GUUGAAGCUCUGAGCAGAAGUUCAGGAUACUGAGCAGGGCUGUUUGCUCCACUUUUGUUCGGUAAAGAACGAGACGCUUUAGGCUGCCCACUUUUGCUAUGUGGUUGAAAGCUUGAGGUGGUAUCUUAUCGCACGAUGAGAGAUUUAAUUCUUGAAGAUUAGGACACAUUUCAGUAAUGACCUCCAAACAUGUUUCAUUGAGGAAAUGGCCACAAGACAACUCAAGACGUACGAGUUCAGAGCCACAAACUUUCAAGAACCUGCUAAAUCCAGAAACAGA
rnacentral:lncRNA from 1 species